rnacentral:lncRNA from 1 species
CUGAAGUCUCCAUGGGCACUGGGUAACAAGAGAACUCACUGCACCUGAAACCUUGGUGAUAAGAAAAGGCAAAUGCUGUAGGCACAGCUCUUCUCCUCUAUUCUCCAAACUCUUUCUUUCCUAUAGCUCUCUGUUGUCCUCACUUGCAGGCUGACGGCCUGAUCCUAUUCUCUGUCAUUUGUGUUUCUGUUGCUCGCCUUGUUGCAAGGCUGCAAAUAUCUCUUUUGCUACUUCUUGCUGUUCACUGGGGGUAUUGGGCCUCUUCCAGCUGUUUUUCUUUUCUUUUUUUUUUUUUUUUUUUAAUUGGAACAAGUUUGCCUGAGGCUAAAAAAAAAGGAAAGGGAGGAAGAGGGAGCAAGUGGGGAGAAAGGUGUAGCUUGUAAGGACAUAGUACAUCUGGGAGGGAAAAAGUUUCCCUGCAAACCAGGGCAGAGCAAAUGAGGAGGGAAAAUGGAAAGGAGCUAAAGACAGAGUAGAAAGUGGUUUUCUGGAUACUUACUUGGAGUUCAUCAGAAGCUGCCCCGUUUGAACAGAAGGUUAAACAGCGGAUGGAGCACGCCUGUCCCCAGCAUGCCCUCUGCAAUGGUGGAAAGAAGGCUGAAACACUGGUUGGCCUUAGAGCAUGGAGUGGCUUCCAGCAAGACAUUGCUGCUGAGUCCCAAGGCAGCCAUUCUGAGAUCCUUCAGGCUGCUGGAACUGAAGUCCGGAUGACUCCUGACCUUGAGCAGCACUUUCAAACCUCUCCUAAUGAGGACCUAAGACAAUGGACUUAUGAUCUUAUGUUCUAAGAUAACGGGCUUACAAAGGUAGAUGUCAGCUGUGCACGUAAAACUGUGUAGCUCAUUCUCUCUGACCAUCCUCCCACUGUUCUUUAUGAAAGCUAAAUACUGAGGUAACAGCAAAACCUGUAGGAUUUCAAUUUUGGAGAUGGGUUGGAUACUAUGCUUGGG